AUGCAGAGUCUGUCUGCCGCAGACAUGAUGAGACUUCUGGCGCGUGUUAAGCUUGGUCCGACGAGUGAAUCUGUUUUUGGGGAAAAGCAACGUCUCUUCACACCUCUGAUGCAAAUGGCCGGCACCAUGAACAGGAGCGAGGCCUGAUUCCCGCACACAACGAUGCACAUUAGGCCGAGACUCGCUGCAGGUCCAGAUUUGCAGUGAGGAAAAUGAUGCCAUUGUAUCUGCCUGUACUAUGACGUACUAAGGCCCACUGUGAGCCAGUAUGAAGGAGCUUCCAGUACAUCCAACCGGACCUUGCAUCAGCAAGGAGUUCAGGAGUUGUCGGAGAAGAAAGAGGCUGAUUGACGCGGGACAGAUGAAAUGAAUCCAUCCUUCCACAGCCAGGAGCUCACCGACAUGUGUGCCACACUUCAAGUAAGACUAGAAGCUACACUGGAUCUCACAGCUACACACCACAGAC